rnacentral:rRNA from 1 species
GGGACACGUGGUAUCCUGUCUGAAUAUGGGGGGACCAUCCUCCAAGGCUAAAUACUCCUGACUGACCGAUAGUGAACCAGUACCGUGAGGGAAAGGCGAAAAGAACCCCGGCGAGGGGAGUGAAAAAGAACCUGAAACCGUGUACGUACAAGCAGUGGGAGCACCUUCGGGUGUGACUGCGUACCUUUUGUAUAAUGGGUCAGCGACUUAUAUUCUGUAGCAAGGUUAACCGUAUAGGGGAGCCGCAGGGAAACCGAGUCUUAACUGGGCGUUAAGUUGCAGGGUAUAGACCCGAAACCCGGUGAUCUAGCCAUGGGCAGGUUGAAGGUUGGGUAACACUAACUGGAGGACCGAACCGACUAAUGUUGAAAAAUUAGCGGAUGACUUGUGGC